UGGAUUUGCAAACCAAUGUUAGGGUUUGCUUGAGCUGAAAGUGUGUGAGUCAGAAUGAACCUUUCAGAGUUGCCUGGAGGUUGCUGCAGAUUAAUUCUCACUCUCUCUGUCUAGGUUUCUCUCCAGGUUUUGUCCAGGAUUUUGUUUCAAUGAAAACUCUAGUAUUUAUAGCCUAAUAUUGGUAGCUUAGUGGGCUUUUGAGAGAGGUCCAAGUCUGAGAUUUUUCUUUUAUUUAUUUAUUUAUUUAUUUAAUUUUUUUUUUCUUUUCGUUUUUCGUUUUUCGUUUUUUUUUUAAAACACGUGGGCUUCGCCUAGCGAGCAUGACAGCUCAUGAACAAACCUUUGCU
rnacentral:lncRNA from 1 species